GGAAGAAGUCCUUGAGGCGGGCAAGGGUGCAGACGGCGCUGCGGAGGGCCCGGUAGGAGGAAGGCCGAGGCCGAGAGGAGGAGAGAGGUUUCCAACAGACCUCACAACCUCUGAGGAUGCCUGCCAUAGAUGUGGGCGAAACGUCAGGAGAGAAUACUUCUGGAACAUGGCCACACAGCCCGAAAGACAUACAACAACCCUGUGAUCCCGGCCAUGAAAGCCUUCCACAACACAUUGGUUUUUAACUGUUAUAAUAUUCUUGCUUCAUAUUGUAUUACUGUUUUUAUCUUUUAUAUUGUGAUUCGUAUUAUGUUGUUGUUUAUUUUGUCCUUAUGUUGUUUGGGCCUCUGCCCCAUGUAAGCCGCCCCGAGUUCCCGCGGGGAGAUGGUGGCGGGGUAUAAAUAAAGUUUUAUUGUUAUUAUUA